rnacentral:rRNA from 1 species
GUGGGGAAUAUUGGACAAUGGGCGAAAGCCUGAUCCAGCCAUGCCGCGUGAGUGAUGAAGGCCUUAGGGUUGUAAAGCUCUUUUGUCCGGGAAGAUAAUGACUGUACCGGAAGAAUAAGCCCCGGCUAACUUCGUGCCAGCAGCCGCGGUAAUACGAAGGGGGCUAGCGUUGCUCGGAAUCACUGGGCGUAAAGGGCGCGUAGGCGGCCCCUUAAGUCGGGGGUGAAAGCCCAGGGCUCAACCCUGGAAUAGCCUUCGAUACUGAGAGUCUUGAGUUCGGAAGAGGUUGGUGGAAUUGCGAGUGUAGAGGUGAAAUUCGUAGAUAUUCGCAAGAACACCAGUGGCGAAGGCGGCCAACUGGUCCGAUACUGACGCUGAGGCGCGAAAGCGUGGGGAGCAAACAGGAUUAGAUACCCGAGUAGUCC